rnacentral:lncRNA from 1 species
CCCGUGAGCUAUGUUACAUACAGUAAAAGUUUAUCAGUAAAAGUUUAUCAGUAAAAGUUUAUAUUAGAUAGCUUUUACUUAUAAGUAAAUAGGCAUUUAUNCUAAAAAUAAAAAUAAAAAUAAAAAUAAAAAUAAAAAUAAAAAUAAAAAAUUAUUAGAGUCUUUUUCCAAACGGCACUUUACGCUGUGACCUUUUUUGGUACGUACGCAGCUCUUUUUUAUAAGUUGGCUACUAAGUGACAAGAGCGUUUGCACUAGUGUAAAGCAUGUGCUACAACGCACAGAAAGAGGGGGGGGGAGUCAAUGAAAGUGCGUAGUACGUUACUCAAGAAUUAUAAAACUUUCAAGUAAAAAUAGCGCACCCCGGGAGUGUGUAGUUUAUAUGCUUAAACUAAAUUAAACGGUAUUCCCGAAGGGGGGGGGGGUAAACGUAACGUUGUAGCUUCGGCCAGGGGGUCUACUAAAAUAAGGGACACCCAAGACAAACGAAGCCCGACAACGGCUACUUACAGCGCAUUACUUGUCUUCCCCUUUAGGGGAACAAACUUUGUUCCCCUAAAGGGGAUGGGAACCAAAGGUUACCCAAAGGUUACCCAAAGGGAACCCAAAGGUUACCCAAAGGGAACCCAAAGGUUACCCAAAGGUUACCCAAAGGUUACCCAAAGGUUACCCAAAGGUUACCCAAAGGUUACCCAAAGGUUACCCAAAGGU